rnacentral:rRNA from 1 species
GACGAACGCUGGCGGCGUGCUUAACACAUGCAAGUCGAACGGGCCUGCCUGGCUUUGGUUGGGUGGGUGAGUGGCGAACGGGUGAGUAACACGUGAGUAACCUGCCCUCUUCUCUUGGAUAACUGCUUGAAAGGGCGGCUAAUACGGGAUGUUCUGGCUGCCUCGCAUGGGGUGGUUUGGAAAGAUUCGGCCUGGUUUUGGUUGUUUUGGUGGGGGAUGGGCUCGCGGCUUAUCAGCUUGUCGGUGGGGUGAUGGCCUACCAAGGCGGUGACGGGUAGCCGGCCUGAGAGGGUGGACGGUCACACUGGGACUGAGACACGGCCCAGACUCCUCGGGAGGCAGCAGUGGGGGAUUUUGCACAAUGGGCGCAAGCCUGAUGCAGCGACGCCGCGUGAGGGAUGGAGGCCUUCGGGUUGUGAACCUCUGUCGCCGGUGAUGUAGGCUCUGCUUUGUGGGUGGG